AUGCUUGUUUUAGCAGCACAUGUACUAAAAUUGGAACCAUACAGAGAGAAGAUUCGCAUGGCCCUUGCACAAGGAUGACACACAAAUUCAUGAAGCAUUCCAUAUGAAA
ensembl:snRNA U6 U6 spliceosomal RNA